rnacentral:lncRNA from 1 species
GCAAAUCUACCCAACCUAUGGACAGACCCUCUUCAGCUGGGUUCCCACAGGUCUCAAAGAAGAAAGAAUACAGCAUACUCUAUACCAGCAGGUCACCCAAGGCCUCCUGUCCUGGAGCCCCUGACCAGGUUGUUCCUGGGAUGCUAGCAGCGUGAAGGGAGUGGGCAAAUAUGUAGGCAAGGACACCAGGCUGGUCAGCUGAGGGCUCAGGCCCAUCCUGCAAUUGGGGUACAGCGGAUGCAGGAAAACGUGAAUGUAGAAACAAGCAACACAAGGGAGAGCUGCAGAGUCGGGGCCCAGCAUUGUAAGGAACAAGGACCUUCAUGUGCACCAAGAAGACCAGGGGAAGAGGCCUUGCCCACCGGGAGAGUCCUGGGGCCUUGGCAGCAGGUUGAGAAGGGACUGGCACUGCCAGGUACAGGUUUGGCUGAGGCUGGCCUUGGUUUUGGAAGAAGAGUAUUGGGUUGGGGGUAGGGCUCGGGUGGUAAAAGAGCUACCCACAGGUGUAGCUAGGCUCAUACACAGGACUCUGCCUGGAGGGCAGGUAAGCCAGUUACACCCAGCCCAUCUAUGUCCUUGGUAUAAAAUAAUACACAUAUAAAAAUAAUACUCCAUGCAUUUGGGUUGGGCCCAUUACAGGUGCGGCGCCCCCUCUGACUCUGGUGAAGUGUGUUGGCUGGUAUAGCUGUCCUCGGCCCUCCUGAUCUUGCUCAUGAGCUUCUCCAGUUCUGACCCACUUUGUUGUUUCUAGGAAAAAUUUCCUGUUUUUCCAGUGACCCCAGGUGCAAGUGCCUAGGAAGGAACUCAGAAGCAGGCAGGAGCUGCUCACCUCCAGGAAGGCCUUCUGAACCGUGAGCUGGCUGUACACGCGACUGCCCUCUUCCCCGCACACUUUUUUCAGUUCCUCCUUGUUGAGGGAGAAGAGCUGGGGUUAAGAUGCCCAGGUUCUCCACGAUCCUAGGGGCAGGUGGGUGUGAGGGCGGGGCCGUGGGCGGGACACUGUCCUCCAGGCUCCGCCCCACCGGCUGUACACACGGGACUCACCUGGCACUGAAGGCCUUGGCUUCCAGCCAGGCGCGGACCUCAUCCGGACCUGACUCGAAGGUAAGCGGCAGGUGCACUGGCUGGCUGCGCUCCACGCGGAAGUUGCGCUGCGGCUGUGUCUUGAUGUGGCUGAUCUUUUUCAUGAGCUCGUCAUUGACCUCGUCCAUGUGGUGGAUUAGCUCUGUGGGGCGCACGCUCUCAGCCCCUUCACUCGACCCGUUCUCUGCCUCUUCCCCACCCUCCGCAUCCUAUCAGCGCCCUCCCCUGCCCCUCCCUACACUUCUAACCCCAAAGUGGAUCUACUUACCUUCUUUGUUCCCUGCGAAAAUUGGGGGCAGUUUGUGGGUGGGGCUGGCUGGACCCCAGUAUUUCUGGCCAGACUGCAAGGAGUAAGGAAGAGGUGAGGGGUAAGGUGAGGGGGGGGCUAUUAUAUAAGGACUUACCCAGGACCCCAGAUGGAUGGGCCAGCCCUUUCUUCCCUUGAGUAAGACCCCAGGAACCCACACAGCCCUUGGCCCAGCUUGGGGGCAGCAGGUUUCCGGGGAUCAGGUUCAAAUAUCACAUUGAGACCAGCUGCACCCCUGACCUUAGGGGCUCUGACUGUGUUGUAGACAGAAUGGAGCCGUGGCAGGCGAUCACCUGUUCCAAGGGGGCACCCACGUCCUCCUGCCGAGCUUCAGCCAGGAUGUUGCAGGGCACAUAGCCCGCCUGGCCACUGCGAUUUCGUAGCUUCCACCACUGCCGGCCGUCCUCCAGCACCUGCCAAGUGUCCAGAUGUCUGUGAGACUCACCAACAUCCUCGUGCAGACCUCAAGUACUAUUAGAGUCAGAUGCUGGGGACACUUGCCAAACCCUUCACAGAGGGCCAAAGCAUUGUCCAGGACCUCGUCCUUGAGCACAGAUAGCUCAUUGGCGUUUCGCGCUGUGAAAUCAUAGAGGAUCUUGACGUACUUGGUCAUGGCUGGUGUUGGCUGGUAGCCCCUGCAGGACCAGGAAGAGUUGAGACCCAGGGCUGGACGGAAGUCUCUUCCUGCUUCCCAGCUGCAGCUGCCUCCUGUUCUGCUGCCCAGGUUGCAGUGAAGAGAGGCUGUGCUUCUCAGCCGGGAGUGGAAACUGUGACACUCCAGCAGGCGGGGGGGGGGGGGGGGGCAGGGUCACAUGUUCCCAGUUGACCACAGGGCUAGGGCUAGGAGAUUUUCAGUUACAGCCCCUUAGAGAUAUUAUGUGUCCUUUCUGGAAGUCCCCUUGCAUCUCUGGAGCAGGGGUGAGCUCUGGCUAAUGGUUUCCCCCCUAGCCAGGUCAUGUUCCUGGUCAGUGUGGCACUGGAGAGGGAGGAGGGGUGGGGGGAUAGGCUGAGAAAGGGACACUGGAUAGCAAGCUAAAGAAGCCCAAGGAGAGGGGUUCACUUUGAAAAGGAGCCGUAGGACCACCAGGUAGACCCUGGGUAGGAGUAAGAACCAGAGGAGGGGGAGGUAAGAGGGAUACCUCCAUGUCUUGGGCUUCUGUUUAACUCACGGGGAGUGUGGGAUGCUUAGUGUGUGUGUGGGGGAUAAUCAGAGCCCUUUGCUCUGAAUCCCCAACAGCACCAUAGUGGGUGGUGCUUGGAGGAGUCGCUGGUGGUGUUUGUUUCUUUCUUUCCUUUUUUCCUUCAGUGAGUUUCUAACCUUGAUUUUAAUUAAUUAAAAAUUUGACAUCGUCUCACUAUGCAGCCAUUGACUGCCUGAGACUCACAGAGAUCUGUCUGCCUCUGCCUCCUGAGUCCUGGAACCAAAGGUGUGGGCUUCCACAUCCAAUCUCUGUCCCUUUCUAACAUUGAUUAUGAAACAAGAAAGUAUAGAAAGAAGUAAUGUAGCCAGGCAACCAGCACUCAGAAGGCAGAGGCAGGCAGAUCUCUGAGUUCAAGGCCAGCAUGGUCUACAGAGUGAGUUCCAGGAAGGACAGCCAGAGGGCUACACAGAGAAACCCUGUCUCAAAAAAGAAAAAAAGAAAGAAAGGAAAGAAAGAAAGG